UUAACACAUGCAAGUCGAGUGCGCGUUCCUGUAGCAAUACAGGGAUGGCGCACGGCGCACGGGUGCGUAACACGUGGGCAAUCUGCCCUCCGAUGGGGAAUAACCCCGCGAAAGCGGGGCUAAUACCGCAUAACAUUCCGAGAACUCCGGUUCAUGGAAUCAAAGCCGCAAGGCGUCGGAGGUGGAGCCCGCGCACGAUUAGCUAGUUGGCAGGGUAACGGCCUACCAAGGCAAUGAUCGUUAGCUGGUCUGAGAGGAUGGCCAGCCACACUGGAACUGAGACACGGUCCAGACUCCUACGGGAGGCAGCAGUGGGGAAUCUUGCGCAAUGGGCGAAAGCCUGACGCAGCGACGCCGCGUGGGGGAUGAAGCUCUUCGGAGUGUAAACCCCUUUCGACUGGGAAGAAUUCCUCGCAAGAGGGGUGACGGUACCAGUAGAAGAAGCCCCGGCUAACUACGUGCCAGCAGCCGCGGUAAGACGUAGGGGGCCAGCGUUGCUCGGAAUUACUGGGCGUAAAGGGUUCGUAGGCGGUGCGGCAAGUCGGGAGUGAAAUCUUUGGGCUCAACUCAAAGGCUGCUUCCGAAACUGCUGUGCUCGAGUGUGGGAGAGGCGCGUGGAAUUGCAGGUGUAGCGGUGAAAUGCGUAGAUAUCUGCAGGAACACCCGUGGCGAAAGCGGCGCGCUGGACCACUACUGACGCUGAGGAACGAAAGCUAGGGGAGCAAACAGGAUUAGAUACCCUGGUAGUCCUAGCCCUAAACGAUCAGGACUUGGGGUGCCACCCGUUCGGGUGUCGUCCC
rnacentral:rRNA from 1 species